GAGUUUGAUCCUGGCUCAGAACGAACGCUGGCGGCGUGCUUAACACAUGCAAGUCGAACGUGAUUGGAAGCUUGCUUCCAUGAAAGUGGCGCACGGGUGAGUAACGCGUGGAUAACCUGCCCUGGUAUCCGGAAUAACAUCUCGAAAGGGGUGCUAAUACCGGAUAAGCCUACGGAGCCCUCGGUCUCUGCAGGAAAAGGUGGCCUCUAUUUAUAAGCUACCGUAUCAGGAUGGGUCCGCGUACCAUUAGCUAGUUGGUGGGGUAAUGGCCUACCAAGGCRACGAUGGUUAGCUGGUCUGARAGGAUGAUCAGCCACACUGGAACUGAGACACGGUCCAGACUCCUACGGGAGGCAGCAGUGGGGAAUUUUGCGCAAUGGGGGAAACCCUGACGCAGCAACGCCGCGUGAGUGAUGAAGGCUUUCGGGUCGUAAAGCUCUGUCAGAGGGGAAGAAGUGGAAACGGUUAAUACCCGUUUUUCUUGACGGUACCCUCAAAGGAAGCACCGGCUAACUCCGUGCCAGCAGCCGCGGUAAUAC
rnacentral:rRNA from 1 species